rnacentral:rRNA from 1 species
AUGGCGUCGGGGGUGUCGACGAGCAUGGUGCUCACGCUGCUCGGCUUCUGCGUCAGCGUCCUCUUCAUAGUCUUCGUCUGCUCCAGGCUCGUCUGCGCGCUCGUGCGCCGCCGCCGCCGCCGCUCCCGCGCCUCGCCGCUACCGCCGGGCUUCCCGCCCCUCGCCGCGAACUACUUCUUCGCCGUCCAGGUCGACCGCCUGGGAGCCCAGGCCGCGGCUGGCCCCGGUGCCGGGGGGCUGGACCUGGCCGCCGUCGCCUCCUUCCCCACCCGCGCCUUCGCAGCUGCCGCCUCCUCCGACUCCGACUCCUCAGACGCGGCCCCGCAGUGUGUUGUCUGUCUUGCAGAAUACGAGGACAAAGAUGUACUCCGCACUCUUCCUUACUGUGGCCACAAUUUCCAUAUGGUGUGCAUAGAUGCUUGGCUAAAGCAGCACUCAACGUGCCCAGUCUGUAGAAUUUCACUGUCUGACUAUCCCGAUAGCAAGCAUAUCGCGCCUCCUUUACCAAGUGCAGUGGUGAUACCUAUACCUAUACCUCCUUAUUCUCCCGAAGCAUCAAUAUCGGAUCCGUGCCAUUGCCUGUUUGUCGGCACGGUGCAUUCGCCAAGGCCAUCAGAGGUUCUUCAGAACGAACCCGACCAGGCGAAUCGGACAGUACCCGGUCCACCCUUGGAUGGGCCAGACAACUUGACGUUGUCUGAGGUUACCUCUCCCGGCGAAAUAACAACCAAACAGUAA